rnacentral:rRNA from 1 species
GUCCCCGCACAAGCAGCGGAGCGUGUGGUUUAAUUCGUUGCUACACGAAGAACCUUACCUGGGUUUGACAUAGCAGUGGUAGGGAAGCGAAAGCGGACCGACCCUUCGGGGAGCUGUUACAGGUGUUGCAUGGCUGUCGUCAGCUCGUGUCGUGAGAUGUUCGGUUAAGUCCGCUAACGAGCGCAACCCGCGUUGUGUGUUACAAGUGUCACACAAUACCGCCGGUAUUAAGUCGGAGGAAGGUGCGGAUGACGUCAAGUCAGCAUGACCUUUAUAUCCAGGGCUACACACACGCUACAAUGGUCAGCACAAUAGGUUGCCAAGUCGUGAGACGGAGCCAAUCCUCCAAAGCUGGCCUCAGUUCAGAUUGUAGGCUGCAACCCGCCUGCAUGAAGUUGGAGUUGCUAGUAACCGCAGGUCAGCUAUACUGCGGUGAAUACGUUCCCGGGGAUU